CUCAUAGAUGGAACGAGAGGGAACCUUCAGCGCAAAACUGUACCUGCUCCGCCUAACGAGCCUCUUUGCGGUGUUCUUAGUCCUUUGCAUGGGCGACGCAAAAGAUCUCCAACAACAGCCGGAGGGCAGGAUGCACAGGACAACUCUCUCGGAACAAGAGUGAAGCGGUCUCCAAGAAAAUUUUCCGACGAUGGUGACAGCAAAUUAGCGAAACAACUAGGAGAUUUCCCUAUUAUAGUUGGAGUGACUGGGGGCUUCGAUGCUCACGAGAACGGACAUCCGUGGA